UUUAUACUCCCUCCGUCCGAAAAUACUUGUCAUCAAAAUGGACAAAUGGGGAUGUAUCUAGAACUAAAAUACAUCUAGAUACAUCCCCUUUUAUUCAUUUUGAUGAGAAGUAUUUCCGGACGGAGGGAGUAUUUA
rfam:Triticum aestivum genome assembly, contig: Triticum_aestivum_CS42_TGACv1_scaffold_222310_3B